AUACGUAGGGGGCGAGCGUUAUCCGGAUUCAUUGGGCGUAAAGCGCGCGUAGGCGGCCCGGCAGGCCGGGGGUCGAAGCGGGGGGCUCAACCCCCCGAAGCCCCCGGAACCUCCGCGGCUUGGGUCCGGUAGGGGAGGGUGGAACACCCGGUGUAGCGGUGGAAUGCGCAGAUAUCGGGUGGAACACCGGUGGCGAAGGCGGCCCUCUGGGCCGAGACCGACGCUGAGGCGCGAAAGCUGGGGGAGCGAACAGGAUUAGAUACCCUGGUAGUCCCAGCCGUAAACGAUCAUCACUCGCUGUUGGCGAUAUACUGUCAGCGGCCAAGCGAAAGUAUUAAGUGAUGCACCUGGGGAGUACGCCGGCAACGGUGAAACUCAAAGGAAUUGACGGGGGCCCGCACAAGCGGUGGAGCAUGUGGUUUAAUUCGAUGAUACGCGAGGAACCUUACCAGGGCUUAAAUGUAGUAUGACCGGUCUGGAAACAGGCCUUCCCUUCGGGGCAGAUUACAAGGUGCUGCAUGGUUGUCGUCAGCUCGUGCUGG
rnacentral:rRNA from 1 species